CCCUUAGAUGUUCUGGGCUGCACGCGCGCUACACUGACGCACGCAACAGGUGCCUGCUCCGAGAGGACUGGGUAAUCAUUUGAGUGUGCGUCGUGAUGGGGAUAGAAUAUUGUAAUUAUUACUCGUCAACGAGGAAUUCCUAGUAAGCGCCAGUCAGCAGCUUGCGCUGAUUACGUCCCUGCCCUUUGUACACACCGCCCGUCGCUCCUACCGAUGGGUGAUCCGGUGAAUGAUUCGGACUUCAGCGGCUCCCCUGGGGUGCGCCGGAGAAAGUUUUGUGAACCUUAUCACUUGGAGGAAGGAGAAGUCGUAACA
rnacentral:rRNA from 1 species